rnacentral:rRNA from 1 species
GGGUGCAAGCGUUGUCCGGAUUUAUUGGGUUUAAGGGGUGCGUAGGCGGCUCGUUAAGUCAGUGGUGAAAGCCUCCAGCUCAACUGGAGAACUGCCAUUGAUACUGGCGGGCUUGAGUACAGACGAGGUUGGCGGAAUUGAUUGUGUAGCGGUGAAAUGCAUAGAUACAAUCAAGAACACCGAUUGCGUAGGCAGCUAACUAGGCUGUAACUGACGCUGAGGCACGAAAGCGUGGGGAGCGAACAGG